rnacentral:rRNA from 1 species
UACGUAGGGUGCGAGCGUUAAUCGGAAUUCCUGGGCGUAAAGCGUGCGCAGGCGGUUUUGUAAGCCGGAUGUGAAAUCCCCGGGCUUAACCUGGGAAUGGCAUUCGGGACUGCAAGGCUGGAGUGCGGCAGAGGAGACUGGAAUUCCUGGUGUAGCAGUGAAAUGCGUAGAUAUCUGGAGGAACACCGGUGGCGAAGGCGGCGUUCUGGACUGUUUCUGACACUGAAUAACGAAAGCCAGGGGAGCAAACGGG